rnacentral:rRNA from 1 species
AUGCACGCUGGCGGCGUGCCUCAUACAUGCAAGUCGCGCGAACGGACGAGAAGCUUGCUUCUCUGAUGUUAGCGGCGGACGGGUGAGUAACACGUGGAUAACCUACCUAUAAGACUGGGAUAACUUCGGGAAACCGGAGCUAAUACCGGAUAAUAUUUUGAACCGCAUGGUUCAAAAGUGAAAGACGGUCUUGCUGUCACUUAUAGAUGGAUCCGCGCUGCAUUAGCUAGUUGGUAAGGUAACGGCUUACCAAGGCAACGAUGCAUAGCCGACCUGAGAGGGUGAUCGGCCACACUGGAACUGAGACACGGUCCAGACUCCCACGGGAGGCAGCAGUAGGGAAUCUUCCGCAAUGGGCGAAAGCCUGACGGAGCAACGCCGCGUGAGUGAUGAAGGUCUUCGGAUCGUAAAACUCUGUUAUUAGGGAAGAACAUAUGUGUAAGUAACUGUGCACAUCUUGACGGUACCUAAUCAGAAAGCCACGGCUAACUACGUG